GUCCCUGGCAUGAGCUACCCAUCACUGUCUUAUGCUCAGUGACCCAGGACCACCUAUGAGCAUCUGGGCCCAAGAGAUGAUCUCAAACUUUUCACAAUUAUUUCAGGUAUCAACAAGAUGGAAAUAAAGCCAAAAGCUGUGCUGAGAUUCAACCAUCAACAUCCCAAAAGGAAUAUUCUGUUUCCCAGCAUUUCUUGCCAAGGAUGAUCUCAGAUUCGUCUGUUUCCAUUCACUAUAAGAAAAAUAUUCUGAGCACCUGCUAUGCGCCAAGCGUUGUGCUAUGUAGUGGGGGCACAACUGCAGGGAAACCAGACAUGGUCCCUCCCUGCCUCCUGGCAUUUAGAGCCAAGACAGAGGGUCAGAUUAUAAAUGAACACAGGCACCAUGAUUAUUUCAUCUCAAACUCUGGUUGGUGCUAUGGGAAAGGAGCAGUGAUCUUUGAGACCUGAGAGGGGGUCCUGAUGGAGCAGACACCAGCAGAAGGAUCCUUCCGGGAAGUGACGUUGAAGCUAAGCUUGAAAAGAAAGAAGCCAGUGGACAUCUUCUGGUGAGACCCAGAGCACCCCACCUGCAAGGGGCCUGAUCUCCCUUGAACCAAGAGCCCUGCCACUCGCCCCAGCUGCCUAAAGGCUGACAGGAGAAGAGGGAGUCAGAAUGGUGCUCCAAACAGAGCUCACUGGAAUCUCAGCUCAGCCAUUUACUUGCUCUGUCAACUUGGGCUCUCGCUGCAGAUGUCAUUAGUGAAGACGAAGUCACACUGGAGUAGGCUGGGCCCUAAAUCAAAUGGCUGUUAGUUUUAUAAGAAGAGGGAAAUUUGGACACAGACACACACAAAGAGGAACAACCAGCGUGUGAAGACAGAGGCAGAGAUUGGAAUGAGGCAGCCACAAGCCAAUGAACCGCUGCAGCUCCCAGAGGCCAGAAGAGGCAAGGGAAUAUCCUCCCCUAGAGGCUGCAGAGGGAGCACAGCCCUGCCAGUGCCUUGAUUCGAGACUUCGAGACUUCCAGCCUCCAGAACUGGGAAAGAAUAAAUAUCUGCUGUUUUAAGCA
ensembl:lncRNA LINC02554 long intergenic non-protein coding RNA 2554